GUUGCUGCCCCUGAAUUGAUAAUUUUAAGGAAAUUUUGCUGUUUUUUGUUAUCUUGAAUAUUUUUAUAGAUAGAGAUAAACUGUAAACAGCAAUAAUGUACAGCAAAGUAAGACCUAAAAAUAAGUCAACAUGACCAAAAUGGUCAAUUGACCCCCUAAGGAGUUAUUGCCCUUUAUAGUCAAUUUAAACAAUUUUCAUAAAAUUUGUAGAUUUUCACUAACAUUUUCCACUGAAACUACUGGGCCAAGUUCAUUAUAGAUAGAGAUAAUUGUAAGCAGCAAGAAUGUUUAGUAAAGUAAGAUCUACAAACACAUCAUCAUCCCCAAA
rnacentral:lncRNA from 1 species